UACAGAGGUCUCAAGCGUUGUUCGGAUUCAUUGGGCGUAAAGGGCGCGUAGGCGGGAUGGCAAGUCGGUCGUGAAAUCCUUCGGCUCAACCGAAGAACGUCGGCCGAUACUGCCGUUCUUGAGGGAUGCAGAGGAGACUGGAAUUCCCGGUGUAGCGGUGAAAUGUGUAGAGAUCGGGAGGAACACCGGUGGCGAAGGCGGGUCCCUGGGCAUCUCCUGACGCUGAGGCGCGAAAGCGUGGGGAGCAAACGGG
rnacentral:rRNA from 1 species